CUUCAAGUCGCAAGAAUCAGCAAGAACUCGAACCGUUGUUUGCAGUAAAAAGAAACCCAAAUUACCUUAACUUGGAUGCUUCAGCUGUAAUUCUUAUAUGUUAAAGCUUCGAACUUUCUCAUAAAGUUUAAAUCUUUAUAGGUUUUUUUUUUUUUUGUUAAUGUUAUGAUUACAUGCUUAAUUUUGUGUUUUGUUUUGGUAUUUUUUUUGCGGGUUCUUAGCCUGCAUUAUAAAUAUGGAAUGUAGGGCAAUUAGCAAAUGAUUGUUAGUAUCAUUAACAAGAGCGGGAAGAAUUGGGUAUUUGGACGAUCCUUAUAUUCUGCCUUGUGUUGGUAAUGAUGCUGAUGGUCCCACUCCUUACGGCGAGCUCGCUUUUCCCCUUGAAGCUUAUGAUUCGAGGAAUAAUGGGGUGGCGCUUGUGCAACAACGAUCCCCUGCUGUUAAGGGGGAUGAUGGUUGAAUUUGCUAAGAACCUGGGUGAUUUUGCUGUUGCUACUGGAAUGAAGCAUGUAGUGGUGCUUUCUAGCUUAGAGUUUAUGAGAUUGCAAAAGACUG